CAAACCUAUCCGCAUUCCCGAUCCAUUGCAUCAGUCUACGAUUGCUGGCCUUGGUAGGAAGGCAUCCUGAACUCUCUCCAGCAGAGAGACAGUUGGCAGAGUUGGACAGUUUAGAACUAUUCUUAUGCAGUUUAUUGGAAGGAUCAGUACAUAUCCCAUAGUGCUUUGAAGAGGAAUGGCUUUCAAAAGAUAUAGUAACUUGGGAGUAUCUGACAUGAAUAAUGAUAGUAGAUGAUGAUGGUGGUGCCUAGUUCAGAGCUUUCUUCUUGAUUGUGGUUUUGGAGUGUUUAUGGAAAUUGGCCUCUUCCACGAGGAUGAUGAAGGUGGACGUUAAAUGAUAAUUCCAGGGGUGAAAUGGGAAAGGUUUUCUGUCUAGUCAAAUGCUGUUGGUGCAAAGAUGUCCACUUCACAGGACUGAAGGCUUUAAACAGCAUAAUGUGUUGAGAAAUACUUUUAAAUUUUAAAGAGUGAUGAUGGUGGUGGUGGUGGUGAUGAUGAUGAUUAAUUCAAAGAGAAUGGAGUUUGUAAGAAACACACAGAGGAUGAAAGGCUGAGAAAACAUCCUUUAAGAUGAGAAUUCAUUUAAAUGUUCAAAAAGAAAAAAGAAAAAAGAAAAAAGAAAAAAGACAGGCUGCUUCCUUGUGCAGCCCUGAGCACAAGACCCCCAAACUUGGAGGUGAUGGAGAAGCUGGCUUUACUGAAUUCACACCUGGAUGGAGAAGCUUAAAACAGAUGUCUGGGAUGGAGAAGCUCAAAACAGAUAUCUGGGAUGGAAAUAUGAAUGAAAAGAUGCAGGUGUGGGCAGAGGAAGAAGAGUGAAUGGGAGAAUAGAGAAGAGUGGCCAGUGUCACAGAGAGACAGGAGGGGAGGUGAAGGGUGGAAAGGAGGGUGACCAUUAAAAUUCCACAGAGGCAGUUUGCCACAAAGCAGUCAUACAUGGAUAAUUUAGAACUGGUGUAACUGUUAAUUGUAGAGGCAUUUCAUACCUAGUCACACUCUGCAGAGAAGAAACUAGAAGAGAGCUGGUAUUCUAUUUCCUUCCUUCUAAACUAAGUUUUUAAAAACUUGGUUGUCAGCCACCAUGUGUUUGCUGGGAAUUGAACUCAGGACCUCUGGAAAAGCAGCCAAUUCUCUUAACCACUGAGCCAUCUCUCCAACCCCAUUUCUUACUUAUAAACAGUCCUUCUUUUUACUAAACAUGUGAGGUUCCCCAAGGUUAAGGACUGUAUUGGUCAUAGACUUUGGAGUACUAGGAUUCAGUGGUGAUGCAGAGAGAGAGAUGGGUGUGGUCAGUGGAUCUUAAAGGUCCGAUGGCAUCACAUUUUUCUUAGAGGCUCCUGAGCAUUCAUCUCAUCCCUUCACCCUGCAGAGAAGGGACUGUAGAAAUUGAACCAAAGAACCAAAAUUGAGCUAGACUGAAAGUCAGAGAAAAAAAUGUACUGAAUCUACAACACUUUACUACUUAAAUUCCAAAUUGGAACCAACCUCUUUACUAGCAAACUUAAGAAAGGCAUGAUAGCACACACCUCUUUGUAUACAAUGAUAAGACUUGGGAGAAUGAGACAGAAGGAAUACGAGUUAAAGGCCAGCUUGGACUACUUUGUGAGACCUGUUCCUAAAACAACCAUGAAAUACUAUCUCCAGACUUGUCAUGGCUGUUCCACACAUAAACUCACAGCAGUUGUAGUUGCCUACACAAGAUCACACCAGUUAAAAGUUUCGGCAUGGAUGGGGUAAGGGGGUCUCAGUAGCCACUGCCUGACCUGAGGAGUUAUUGGUAGUUGAUGACUUCUUGGGAAGGGAGAUUCAUUUCUCUUCUAAGAUGUGGCUAUUGGUAGGCUGCACAUGCCCUAGUGGGUGACCCCAUACCUAUAUUCAUUGGGGCAACAUUAAUUGUAUUCAAUCAGUUAAACACACACACACACACACACACACACACACACACACACACACACAUGAAACUCAACAAAACAUUAAUUCAUUAAUUCCAUUGUGAUACAAUACUCAAAUUGACUUCUGAGUAUUGUAUUUCUGACAAUAAAGUUAAUUGUUGAUAUCUACUUUUCUCAUCUCUACUUGUAGAUAAAAGAUUUAAAAGCUUAUUAAA